AUUGAACGCUGGCGGCAGGCCUAACACAUGCAAGUCGAGCGGAUGAAGGGAGCUUGCUCCUGGAUUCAGCGGCGGACGGGUGAGUAAUGCCUAGGAAUCUGCCUGGUAGUGGGGGAUAACGUCCGGAAACGGGCGCUAAUACCGCAUACGUCCUGAGGGAGAAAGUGGGGGAUCUUCGGACCUCACGCUAUCAGAUGAGCCUAGGUCGGAUUAGCUAGUUGGCGGGAUAAAGGCCUACCAAGGCGACGAUCCGUAACUGGUCUGAGAGGAUGAUCAGUCACACUGGAACUGAGACACGGUCCAGACUCCUACGGGAGGCAGCAGUGGGGAAUAUUGGACAAUGGGCGAAAGCCUGAUCCAGCCAUGCCGCGUGUGUGAAGAAGGUCUUCGGAUUGUAAAGCACUUUAAGUUGGGAGGAAGGGCAGUAAGUUAAUACCUUGCUGUUUUGACGUUACCAGCAGAAUAAGCACCGGCUAACUUCGUG
rnacentral:rRNA from 1 species